rnacentral:rRNA from 1 species
GGCCCCCUGUAGAUCUUCUUAACAUAGGGGGUCUGACCUGCCCGGUGACAUUAACUUGUUAAACGGCCGCGGUACCCUGACCGUGCAAAGGUAGCAUAAUAAUUUGCCUUUUAAUUGGAGGAUGGAAUGAAUGGUUUGACGAGAGCUAAUCUGUCUCCUUUAAAAUAUUUAAAAAUUAACUUCUAGGUGAAGAGGCCUAGAUUUAACUAAGGGACAAGAAGACCCUAUCGAGCUUUAGUGGACCUUGGGUUGGAAGGCUUUCAUAUUGUGAAGAGCUGUAUCUUAAGGAAAUCUUUGAUUGGGGCGGUCCAGGAAUAUAGAAAACUUCCUGUUUUAUUUAAUUAGCGUACUUGUUUGGUGUUGAUCCAGUUUUUACUGAUUGAAGGAAAAAGUUACCGUAGGGAUAACAGCGUAAUCUUCUUGGAGAGUUCUUAUUGAAAAGCGGGUUUGCGACCUCGAUGUUGGACUAAGAUAUCCUGAGGGCGUAGAGGCUUUCAAGGGUUGGUC